GGAGGGACAUGGGCUCCUGGUGGGCCCCGAGGGCUUCAAACCCUUCGGGAGGGGCGCAUGUUGCGUCUCUCGGUGGGUUCGAUUCCCACGUCCUUCCGCCA
rnacentral:tRNA from 1 species